rnacentral:sRNA from 1 species
GGCGGUCGCAGUGAGAACUUUGCAGGAACAGCUAGAAAAGGCCAAAGAGAGCCUUAAGAACGUGGAUGAGAAUAUUCGCAAGCUCACGGGGCGGGAUCCGAAUGACGUGAGGCCCAUCCAAGCCAGAUUGCUGGCCCUUUCUGGUCCUGGUGGAGGUAGAGGACGUGGUAGUUUAUUACUGAGGUAAGAUUUCCUUUGGACUUUACUCAUGCUGAAACUACUGGUACUUUACUAAAUAUGUUGGUUUGAACAAAACCUGUGAUAAAAUCAGUAACCCAGUGUUUGUCGUCUUUGUUUUGUUUAAUGUUGUAAUAGACUAGACUUCUGUAUAAAUACAGUUAUCCUGAAAAACUGGAGGUUGAAGAAUAUAUUAAGUACCAAUUUUGAGUGAACUUAGUUCUUAUAAAGUAACACUAUAAAAGCAUUUUGGAAUGAAUGCCCGUUUAAGGCUACUUUAGUUGGAAAGAUUUUUGAAAGUUUAACCAUAUUCUCUUGUCAAAUGGAAAUACCAUUUAUCUUGUAUUUCAAGUGCUUUAUGCUGAACAUUUUAAAUUGCAGGCGUGGAUUCUCAGAUAGUGGAGGAGGACCCCCAGCCAAACAGAGAGACCUUGAAGGGGCAGUC